CCCGCAGGCCGGCGCCCGUUGCACCAGCUGCACCACCGCAUUGACCUGCGGCUCCGCUAACGUCGGCCGUCUUCAGGCCUGCCGCGGCUUCUUCCCCUACUGCAACCUCGGCCGGUGCUCUUUCUUCCCUGGAGAACUUUGUACCAACUCCACUGGUUAAAUCAGAACCUGGUACUGAACCUGAUCAUCGAUUAAAAAUUUCAACGACAUUUCGUAAAUGUAAUUAGAAUUAAUAAGGAGUAAAUUAUUUAAAUAAAUUGGCUAAAUAAUUACUACUUGAUUUUCUUUUCAA